GAGAGCCGGAUGCUCGGGAACGGGCACGUCCGGUUCGGAGGGCGGCCCGGGGAAACGGACCAGCCGCGA
rnacentral:misc_RNA from 1 species